UACGUAGGUGGCGAGCGUUGUCCGGAAUUAUUGGGCGUAAAGAGCGCGCAGGUGGUUGAUUAAGUCUGAUGUGAAAGCCCACGGCUUAACCGUGGAGGGUCAUUGGAAACUGGUCGACUUGAGUGCAGAAGAGGGAAGUGGAAUUCCAUGUGUAGCGGUGAAAUGCGUAGAGAUAUGGAGGAACACCAGUGGCGAAGGCGGCUUCCUGGUCUGUAACUGACACUGAGGCGCGAAAGCGUGGGGAGCAAACAGGAUUAGAUA
rnacentral:rRNA from 1 species